UUGGGUCUUUUGCAGCCUCCUGGCAGGUUAGAAACAGCCUCAGCAGAUGCAUUGAGUGGGAGCAGUCUUAAAACUGAGGGUUUGUAGUGAAAGCUUGUAAAUGCAGGUGCAGGGGCUUUACUGUGCACAGGCUUUGACUAAAAUGUGUUAAUGUGAGCUGGCAGGAGCAGUUCUGUGGGAUGAUGGGGGGUGUCUGUUUCUAAUAGCAGUUGUUAUAUAUGCUGAUGGAAACCCCUCUAUACUACUUGGAAGGAAGGACAUGGUUUGUAGUUCUUCUUUCCAGGAACAUUAAUGUCCUUGGCCAGGUAUUGAAGUGGAGCUGUAGCAGCUUCUGGAAGCCCUGGAUUUGGGUCUUUUUUUGGUUUGGUAAACCACCCCUGUUCAUUGAUCUGAUGCCUUAAGUCCAUGUUCCUCUGAAAUCAUUAUUCACACAUGCUGUGAGAUUGUAUUAAUGAGUAUUUCCAUCCCCUGCUUAAAGGAAAACUAUUCUCUGUAACAAAGUCUCUCCAAGAAGUUACCCUCAUAUUUCAUGCUACUUUUUUGUUGAACUGCUUUCUCUUUGCCCAACUCCCUGGAAACAAGAAUAUUUGAGAGACUGUCCCUUGUGCUACGUGCCUUUGCUGGAGUCUUUUUGGAAGACCCUUGGAGGGGUCUCAUCGUUGCUUUCCAUGGUGAAGAAAUUGAUACUACCCUGGGCACAUCUGCAGCGAGCUCCCUGCCCAGAAAAAGACCCUAAAAUGGGUUAUUUCGUGCAUCUCUCUCUAUUUAAUCUUCUGCCGUAGGGUGGCACUGGUGAGCUGACCAAGGGAUUCGCUUCUGGUGCAGUCCAAGCGGUGCUAGGGCUGUUUUGUGGUGAUUCCUGCAGAGUGCAGCUUCUGCCCACACAACUCCUCCACAGCUUGCUUGGAAACUUCAGAAAAUAGACUGAAUAUUUGUGGAACCCUAGAAAAUAAGUUUGUUUUUUCAUUGCAUAUUAUCACACCGCUCUCUAAUCCUUCACACAACCCCCCAGCUUGGCUCUUCAGUGAGAUCAAAUGAAACAUGGAUAGUUUUUCACUUGCAGGGAUGAAUGAGUGGCACAGAAAACAAUUCUUUUAUUUGAAAUGAAGGGGGAAAUCUGCACAAAUGGUGAAUUCUACAACGUUUACAAGGGACAGUGGUGUCCCCUUUGGGCAGUCAGAGUGAAGAGUGGAUGAAGAGCCACUGGUUUAAAAAGGAGGACCUAGAGGUGUGAUUUUAAGCUUUUUUCAGGCAUUUACAUGACCUCUGAGCAUUCAGCGCUGUAUUCUUAACAAAACAGCCAGAGUUUAACAUAAAUGCAAAAGCACUGCCUGAUAGGGAUGAUUUUUAGACACCUGUUCUCAAAACUGAAUUAGCACCACUUCUAACAUGACAAAUGACUUUUGUGACCUGUAUCUUCAGUUGAUUUAGAAAGAAAUGCAACUGAACGCCAUGUGCAAUGCACAGAGCUUCCAGAUGUGUGUGCUGGUUUGCUUUUGAUUUAGUUCUUGUGUGCCCAAGUUAAAAUGAUUUGAACUCUGGCAACUUCUCCCCCAGUGUUCCAACCAAGGCCUGAGCACAGCUCAGGGCUCCUCUCUGUACAAACCUGUGAAGCCAUGCAGAACUUUGUUGGCUGUGAAGAGCCAAAGGUAUAAUUUUAACUGAUUAUGAUAGGAAUGAUGAUAAAUAUCAAGGAUACAAAUAGCUCUGAAACAACCUGAGACCCUGAAUUAUUUGCCCAGGGCUGAAAACUGAGCAAAUGGCAGUGGCAGACUGAGGGUGGGCAUCCUUUUGGGAAGGUGGUUUCUGAAACAGAGAUCCCUGUUUGAUGGGCAAAUAGCUGUCUGGUCCAGCAUGCAGUGCAAAGAAAAUGCAUGUAAAAUGAAAUACAUAUGUAUUUUAUGCGUUGAAAAAGUAAAAACCUGUCAUAGUCUGG